rnacentral:lncRNA from 1 species
UUCCCAUACAACUUCAAGAUUGAGACUAGACCUUGAAUAUCCUCCCUUGCUGCCUGCUGUCUUGUAUCUUCAUCUCUCUGCUAUGAUGUACACACUUCAAGCUUCGAAGUCAAAUGUACUUUUUUUCCAUUACAGAUCUCUUUCUUCUCCUUUUCUAGCAUCAAUUUAUUAUCUAUGAAAUGUGAAGAAACUGUAUUUUGGG